UUAAUGUGUGCUUAUUUCACUGACAGGGUCUUCUUUGAAGUCAACUCUGAGUGUGUAAAAACUGCACAUUUCUGAUAAAAUCAGGACUGUCUUGUUAGCUUGGUGAUACAAGUACUCUUGUACAGGAAAAGUGAAGCUGAUAGCAGAGGGGUUUAAGGAGUCCAAAUAAAAAGUGGGAACUACUGAGAGGGGUCUGGCUUCCUCCUCUUCAUUCCUUCCCAUCAAGUAUUUAUACACAUUGGUGAUUGCUCCCUGAGCCUUCUCUCUUCUGGACUGAAGAGUUCCAGCUGUCUCAACUUCUCCUAUUACGAAAGACACUCCAGUCCUUUAAUCACCUGCACAGGACUCACUCCAAAUGACAGAUUUUUGAGGCACCUGUAUGAAGACAUGGUCUUCUGGUUUUCCCAGUCAGGUGAUGUGUGGAAUCUCCCUCUGUACUGCGUUCAGGGUUGAGGAGGAAGGUUGACUUAUUUAACAAACUGAACAAGCAGCAAUAAGGUGGUGUCAUUGCUUAACUCCAGCCAGCAACUCAACACCACACAGCUGCUCACUCUUCCCCCUGCCCCUGUUUGGAUGGGAAGGGGAAUUGGAAAAAAGGAUUUUAGUCAGAUAUUGAUAAAUUAGAG